UGCAGCCACAGAUCAUGUGGGAGCUGCCCAACUACACUGCAUUUAAAAUUAGACAGCCUACAGCUGUAUCAACAAGCCAAUGACAAGCGAGCUUUAUGGAUGAACUGAAUGUUGCAGCAAUCAUAUUUGUCAAUAUAUCAAUCUUGCUUCUUUUUUGGCAGAUGAGUAGAAACUAUAUUAAAAAAGACAAAGUUGCUUCAAACUAAUCGAGUCAGAAUAACAGGAAAUGCUUUAAUUCCCCUGUUUUGGUUAAUGGCGUUCUUUCCACAGUUU